CCUACGGGUGGCAGCAGUGAGGAAUAUUGGUCAAUGGCCGGAAGGCUGAACCAGCCAAGCCGCGUGAAGGACGAAGGUGCCAAGCAUUGUAAACUUCUUUUGUCAAGGGACAAAAUCAGGCUCGAGAGCCUGACCGAGGGUACUUGAAGAAAAAGCAUCGGCUAACUCCGUGCCAGCAGCCGCGGUAAUACGGAGGAUGCGAGCGUUAUCCGGAUUUAUUGGGUUUAAAGGGUGCGUAGGGGGACGGUUAAGUCAGCGGGAAAAGCCCGGGGCUCAACCCCGGCGAGCCGUUGAAACUGGCAGUCUUGAGAUGUGGAGAGGUAGGCGGAAUGCGCGGUGUAGCGGUGAAAUGCUUAGAUAUUGCGAAGAACUCCGAUUGCGAAGGCAGCAUACCGGCGG
rnacentral:rRNA from 1 species